rnacentral:rRNA from 1 species
AACGAACGCUGGCGGCGUGCCUAACACAUGCAAGUCGAACGAGAAAGUACUUCGGUACGAGUAGAGUGGCGCACGGGUGAGUAACGCGUGGGUGACCUGCCGUUUGGAGGGGGAUAACCAGAAGAAAUUUUGGCUAAUACCCCGUAAGCUUGACGAACCUGAGAGUAGUCAAGGAAAGGAUGGGACCCUUCGGGGCCAUUCGCCGAAUGAUGGGCCCGCGUUGCAUUAGCUAGUUGGUAGGGUAACGGCCUACCAAGGCAUCGAUGCAUAGCUGUCUGAGAGGAUGAUCAGCCACACUGGAACUGAGACACGGUCCAGACUCCUACGGGAGGCAGCAGUGGGGAAUAUUGCGCAAUGGACGAAAGUUUGACGCAGCAACGCCGCGUGGGUGAGGAAGGACUUCGGUUUGUAAAGCCCUGUAAAUGUGGAAAAAGAGACGUACGUCGAACAGGCGUAUGGAUUGAUGGUACACAUAGAGUAAGCACCGGCUAACUUCGUGCCAGCCGCCGCCGUAA